rnacentral:rRNA from 1 species
AGCAGUAGCCGCGGGAAUACAGAGGGUGCGAGCGUUAAUCGGAUUUACUGGGCGUAAAGCGUGCGUAGGCGGCUUCUUAAGUCGGAUGUGAAAUCCCUGAGCUUAACUUAGGAAUUGCAUUCGAUACUGGGAAGCUAGAGUAUGGGAGAGGAUGGUAGAAUUCCAGGUGUAGCGGUGAAAUGCGUAGAGAUCUGGAGGAAUACCGAUGGCGAAGGCAGCCAUCUGGCCUAAUACUGACGCUGAGGUACGAAAGCAUGGGGAGCAAACAGGAUUAGAUACCCCCGUAGUCCCUGUCUCUAUACA